GAGAGUCACUUAUUUACUUCAGCCUCAGCUCUUUCUUGACACGUCAAACGCAUCACUUCUUGUGCGCUGGAAAAAAUGUCCCACCACUGCACGAGCCAAACACCUUUUUCCUUAGCAGCAGUACACUGUAUACAUGCUCACUCUCCAUGGCCCAGAAUCUUGGUACUGUGUCUAGGAUUCGGCCUCAUUAUGUUCGCAGCUAACUGCAAGGCAGAUACUUCACCGCUGCCUCAUGAGGUGCCACCCGGUUCAGAGGUCACGUUUGACAUUGAAUCAGUGGCAGUGAUCAACAACAUCAGGGUGCUUAAACCCGUGACCCCACGGUUAGAUCCAAUUCUGCCACCAGUGAUGACCACAUCUGGCGUACCACCAUAAAUGGAUCCAUGAACAGGCAGACUACCACCAUCACUGACGCUUGACCUCUGCAAAGGAUUCAGAAUACUGUUCUGUUUUCAGACGACUCCCACAGAACGCUGCAGUGAAAGCUUCGUAAUUCCGGGAAGGAUGAGGUCAAGACACCUUUUCUGGGAAAUAGUUUUUUUUAUUUCUAAACUUCUGCUGAAAAACAGCAGCAAUAAACCGUGAAAUCAUGUUACUUUCCGAAGUGUACUCCUUUGGUCGUCUUUCUGUCAGAAUUCCAAAUAUCACACCAGAACGUCCCAAGCCACUUGACCUGCAGCUGAAUCAGUUGGUGACAUGCGUGGAUACUCACAACUCACGGUUAUUGUUUGAAAUGCAGAUAGGGCCAGCUGCCAUUUGCCAUGGAAAUGCCGUUCCUCUUGCCCAAGCUUGAGAUUACCCUGAAUGAAGACCUGUAACUGCUUGGUGGUGGAUGAUGUUUUUUUUCAAAGCCUGAGCCCAAUCUGAAGAAUGCCUGGAUCAAGAGCUUCUUGAGCUGCUUUUCUCAACCAGCUU